AUUGAACGCUGGCGGCAGGCCUAACACAUGCAAGUCGAACGAGUGGCGGACGGGUGAGUAAUGUCUGGGAAACUGCCUGAUGGAGGGGGAUAACUACUGGAAACGGUAGCUAAUACCGCAUACCAUCAGAUGUGCCCAGAUGGGAUUAGCUUGGUGGUGGGGUAACGGCUCACCAAGGGGACGAUCCCUAGCUGGUCUGAGAGGAUGACCAGCCACACUGGAACUGAUGCACGGUCCAGACUCCUACGGGAGGCAGCAGUGGGGAAUAUGGCACAAUGGACGCAAGCCUGAUGCGGCCAGGCCGCGUGUAUGAAGAAGGCCUUCGGGUUGUAAAGUACUUUCAGCGGGGAUGCGGUACCUGCAGAAGAAGCACCGGCUAACUCCGUGCCAGCCGCCGCGGUAAUUC
rnacentral:rRNA from 1 species